CGUCUCGUGGUCGGGUGGGGUCAUGACAUCCGGCUUCCACCGCCGGGGUCGUGUUCGUCGAGGAUGGUUCGGGCGACGGUCCGGGCCGC
rnacentral:tRNA from 1 species